UUAUCAACUCUCCAAAGACCUCCGUAAUCAGCAUCAUUGUAAGCAACUCUACAGUUGGGGCCUGGAGAUCCUUUUACACAGAAACAACGAGCAAGCGAAUUCUACAGAGCAACCAAGUGAUUUUGAUUGGAGUGAAUGUCAGUGGGACUCAAUAUCCCAAUUCUGUGUGGGGCAUUACAGGGACUGAAUCAGAAGUCACCUGUUCCGUACCAUUUAACAUGACUAAUUCUAUUUUGAAUAAUUUGCGGUGGAAGUUGGAUGGCAAGUUUGUAAACAAUAAAGGUUUUACCUAUAAUAAGCACCAUGAUGUUAUCAUCUUCAAAAUGAUGGAGAAAGUUUAUGGCACUACAACGGUCCAGUGGAAAAUC